ACGGUAAACGGCCAUAGCAAACGUCUUCAACAUUUGCUUCAACAUCCAUUCGAUUUUGCUGAACGCUGUUGAAAGGUUAUUGAAUGAUGUUGAACGGUGGGAUGAGCAAACGGUAUCAACAUUUAAUUCAACAAAACGUAGCGAGUAGCCU